GUCGUAAAAACCCUAUUUGUAAACAACCAGUCCUUUAACUCAGCGCUACGUCAUAAACACGGCGCGCUUGGAAGACCACGAUGUCAUCUUCCUUCUGUCAGAGCAGGAAGGGCAGCCUGGAGAGAAAGAGAAGCCGGGUUGAGCCCACUACCAUCAUCCACGUACCACGAGGAAGAUGAGGGAGAGAAAUGAUCCUACCAUUAAAGAGACUGUGAAAAGAACGUUGAGAACAUCACCACUCUACAGGAAGACACAGUCCAGUAAUGGGUGUCAGAAUUUCAGUAGUGAACGACAGGUACUGUGGAAAAAUGUGUGUCAUUGUUGUACAAUGUCCUUUGACUCUGUUUACACAAGGUUAACACAAAAAGGUUUGAUUGUAAACUGAUAUUGGUAUGAAUUCAUGUUAUUCUCCUCUUCACAAGAAACAAACAAUCUAAAUUACCUGCAGAACGCCCUUGAUGGACACUUCAGCUGCAUCGUCAGACUGGCCAGACAGCAAGAUGCCAACUUUAAUGCCAAUUUAUUUGUGUAACAUUCUGUGACCAAAUGUAUAGAUAACUUUUUGUAGAUUGUAAAAAAGAUAACCCAUUUAUUAAAAAAAAACGACACUAGAAUUACCGCACUGCGUUGUAUGACUCCGCUAACCAGUGCAGUGUCCGUCUACAUAUUUCUACAUAUUUUCUCUCGUAUAAAUGACACUGUGUCUCUUGACAACUGAAACCAUAAGAUGAGGUCAGUGUGGCCUUGACCUUUUGACUUUAACACAAAUACACAGUUAGACAAUCCGAAAACAUACAGUUAUGCCAAAAUAUAUUUUGUUUCACAUUCUAGAUGGCAUAAGCAGAGACAUCAACUCAGGAAAAAUAUUUCUGUAGAAAAGAAAGCCCUGUACGUGUGUAUGUAUACAUACGUACACACGUACAAACGCACUAUUGAGACGUUUUGUUUUUUAUCAUAUAUUCUCAGGAAGGACUGAUGCAUUUACUGAGACGGGACGUGAGGGCCUACUCUGCGUGCUCAGAGUUCAAGCCCAGCAGGCUGCAGCGGGCCUGACAUAUUCUGGAACAGCAGCACAGUCUUUGGAUGACUCCUCUGAAGAUGAAAACAUGGCGAGUUCUUCUCUAGAGAAGCAGUACAGGUGUGCCUCAGCUCCACGGUCCCUCCUGCAACCUCCGCUCCUGAUGCUAACCUCAUGUCUCCAUCACACCAAGCAGCAGACCUGGAUUGACAGACCUUUCUCCAGAGCUGCCCCCUCCCUCUGAAACCCCCCUCUCCAAAACACUAUUUGUGUAGUUUUUAAAGUAUUUUUUGCAUGAGAAUUGUUGAUCAUAACAUUUCCAGCAGAUGCCUUAAUGUAAUGUUUGUGCACAAUAAAUGACAUUGUUCAUAA